CGUAUCUGUUCAACUUUGAAAAAUGAUAGAUGGAUUACUUGUUUUUUUACUAUUCAGUAGGAUACAUUUAUUUUAAGCGAUAUGCCACUUGUUGCCACUGACGUUCGUGACGCAGAAACUAGAAAUAUUAGUUUUAUUAACUAUUAGUGGUACAGGCGAACGCUGUGGUCGCCAAUGUCAAUCUACCAAUAGCAUAGUACGAUACUGACAUACGAAUAUUACAAGCCUAUCAGAUUUUGCUAUAAGAAUCAGCUGUUGGACAACAACAUACACACUUUUUUUUUUUUUUUUUUUUUUUUUAGCAGCCGUCCGAUAUGGCUACCUGAGUAUGGACAUCGCCGAAGAGGAUUGGUUUUGUGGGUGCCUGUUAACUAACUUAAAAUUGGCAGGCUGUAUUGACAAGAUGGCGGUAGGCUAUGUGCAGUAUAGAACUUUUGACGUAAGUGGCAGUCUUACAAAUUAAGUAGCAGUGCUUAACCUUAUGUCAGUGUUGCAUGCAUGAAAAGAGACAUUGUAAAAAAGAUUUAAUUAAAACAUUUAAUUAACAGAUAUUUGAUAACCAAAUAAACAGAGCUAAUAGCUCAAGAGGUGAACAUCAUUCAGGAGAAUGCCACUCUAGUCAUUGCUUUACCUGUUCUCACACAUUGAGCACUGGCAUAGGUCUGUACAUGGCAGAUCUUUUGCAUGUACAUCUACCCUUAGUACACUUUUUUUGUAUCCACAGUGUACAAGUGCCAGUAUAGCCUCUGGAGCUGGUGGCAGUGACAUCCACUACACUUCGUAGCCAUCUCCAGCCAACUUGCACCCAUGGCUUCGGCGGUGUACUGCAACCUGAUCACUUGCCUGCUGAAUAUGUUUGUGCAAGCAGUCUUUAUUUGGAGGUGAAGCCUGUCAGUGCUUCACAAAGGUCUGAAGAUGGGGGUGAAGCUAACUCCUAGGUCUUGGAACAUACGCAAGUACUCUACAAACUAGUUUCUUAAAGCAACACCAAAGUUUUUUUUGUACCUUAAUAUAAUGCAACACUGUAAACAAACACUUGUGUCCAACGUGAAAUGUGGAAUAUUUGGGUAAUUUUUAGGCUUUUGAACUAUUUACUCAACUUGAUGGAAAAAAAAGGCUGUAGGCUAAAUUAAACAAGUAUGGGUGUAGAAGUAACGUUUACAGCAUAAUGUAUGAUGGUUGUUCUGUUUCUUUGCACUAACACUAAUAAACGUUUUCCAUACAUUUUG